rnacentral:rRNA from 1 species
GACGAACGCUGGCGGCGUGCUUAACACAUGCAAGUCGAACGGUGAAGCGCCUUCAUCUUUGGUGGGCGUGGAUGAGUGGCGAACGGGUGAGUAACACGUGAGUAACCUACUCCCUUCUUCUGGAUAACCGCAUGAAAGUGUGGCUAAUACGGCAUAUUCUGUAUCUGUCGCAUGAUGGGUCUGGGAAAGAUAUUGUUUCGGUGGGGGAUGGGCUCGCGGCCUAUCGGCUUGGUGGUGGGGUGAUGGCCUAGCGAGGCGAUGACGGGUAGCCGGCAUGAGAGGGUGGACGGUCACGGUGGGACUGAGAGGCGGCGCAGACUCCGACAGGCGGCAGCAGUGGGGAAUAUAGCACGAGGGGCGGAAUGAUGAAGCAGCGCCGCCGGGGGGGGGAUGGAGGCCUGCUGGUAGAGAACCUCUGUCGGGAGUGAAGCAGGCCUGCCUCGUUUGUGGGUGGGUUGACGGUAGCUGGAGAAGAAGCGCCGGCUAACUACGUG